rnacentral:rRNA from 1 species
AACGAACGCUGGCGGCAUGCCUAACGCAUGCAAGUCGAACGAGACCUUCGGGUCUAGUGGCGCACGGGUGCGUAACGCGUGGGAACCUGCCCUUAGGUUCGGAAUAACUCCCCGAAAGGGGUGCUAAUACCGGAUAAUGUCUUCGGACCAAAGAUUUAUCGCCUUUGGAUGGGCCCGCGUUGGAUUAGCUAGUUGGUAGGGUAAAAGCCUACCAAGGCGACGAUCCAUAGCUGGUCUGAGAGGAUGAUCAGCCACACUGGGACUGAGACAUGGCCCAGACUCCUACGGGAGGCAGCAGUGGGGAAUAUUGGACAAUGGGCGAAAGCCUGAUCCAGCAAUGCCGCGUGAGUGAUGAAGGCCUUAGGGUUGUAAAGCUCUUUUACCCGGGAUGAUAAUGACAGUACCGGGAGAAUAAGCUCCGGCUAACUCCGUG